CCCCGUACACAAAAGCGCAUAUGCUGUGAGCUCGAUGAGUAGGGCGGGACACGUGGUAUCCUGUCUGAAUAUGGGGGGACCAUCCUCCAAGGCUAAAUACUCCUGACUGACCGAUAGUGAACCAGUACCGUGAGGGAAAGGCGAAAAGAACCCCGGCGAGGGGAGUGAAAAAGAACCUGAAACCGUGUACGUACAAGCAGUGGGAGCCCCACCACUAAGCCAGUGGUGAAGUCCACAUACGCAUCCUUUGC
rnacentral:rRNA from 1 species